GGGGGUGGGCGUCCGGACUGGCGCGGAGACCCGCCGCCGCCGGGCCGGGGCAGAGCGCCCCGCAGCCAAGACGGGGGGUCCCGGGAGUGUGGGCCCCGCGGUCCUCUCCGCCCCGCUCUCUACCCCGGUGUCUGCCCCGCCUCCGGCCCGGGGCGUGCUGGCGCCGCCCUCCCCACCAGCUCCACGUCCGAGGCCUCCCCUUUCCCCAGACCUCACUCCCGGUGGGGCUCCCGGUGGGGCCCCCGGCAGCCAGGCCCUGCUCGGCCUCUUUCCCCUACCCCACUGGACGACCCGCCGGGGCCCCUCCGACAGUCCCUGCCUUCUGCUCCCCCUUUCCAAGAAGAGCCCCUAUGUCCGCGAGACUAGAAGGUAACCUGAUCCCUUCCAUGUCUACCCGGGAAAUGCAGGGAUUUCUCCACCAUUCCAGAACCAGCCUCGUGGCCGGAAGCCAGGCUGGCCUCGUUUUAGGUCAGGCCCGGCCCAGCUGCGUAGCUGGGGCCCCUCUCCAGACAGAGAGGACCCCAGAAAAGGGGUAACUUGCGAGGGAACUUCAGACGGAGGGCCCCAAGUGAGUCCUGGGCCCCACUCCGUGCCUGGAGUACCACGUGCCCCUGCCUUUGCUCUGGCCCCUCCAGACCCCUUUGUCGUGGAGGAGCGCCCAAAUGAACUUUGUGAAAUGUAAAUCACAUUGCACUCCCCGACUCCAACCUUCCCAGGCUUUCCAUCAUGCCCUCCUGACCUACGAGUAGAGUGACCACAUAAGGCACCAUCCAGAACUGGUCACUUUAGAAAAUGAAAGUGUGCACCCCUCCACCCAACAGCAAGCAUAAACCCGCAAAGUCCCUGGCAACAGGGCUUUGGGGUCACCCUAGCUAUAGAGGGUCCUCCAGGUUGGGCCUCCCUGCAGCCACUCUCUCAGGCUUCUACUCUACACAAGCUUCUUGCUAUUCCUUGAUUUCAGAGGAGCAAGGCUGGGUGUGGGACAAGGGGGGCCGGGUAGAAAGUCUUGGGAUCUCCACCCACCUUAUGCCUCAGGCACAAGCUGAUGCCUUAGGACUUCAGGGGGAUGGGCAGGCCUGGGCUGAAAGUGGAGGUAUCUACACUUUCCCGUUCCCUGUGUGGGGGGUGCCCCUGAGCUGUCAUUCUGGUGCAGCCCUGGAGGGGGACAGGGCCCCAAUGCUGGCUGAGCUUGAAGUUUAAACAACAGUAUACAUCCUUCACACCGGUGUUUGUGGUCACAGAACAUGCUUUUCUAUAAACAGGGCAUAGAGCAUCCUUAACCUAUAAUAUGAAUCAUACAUGGAACACAACAGACAACUUGACUUCUAAAUAGAGACAUCUCAUGAGACAUUCUCUGACUGCAAAGUAACAAAAAUAAAAACGCCUUUUUUAAAAAGGAUAACUGCGAAUAUUCCCUGGAGGGAUGAAAGUUCCAGCCAGACUUCAACAACGUCCCACAGAUAGCUUUUGAGAGAAAAGAGGCAACUCACCGCUAAAAAGUCGCAAAACACAAGAGGGAAAAAACCACUCUGAGUGAGAGCCGUUGGAAUCACAGACAAUAAAACCAUGUCCCGAAAACUGCAGACAUUGGCAUUAUCAGACAUAUAAUAAUUAUGUUUCAUGUGUUUAAAGAAAUAAAGAAGCUUAACAUUUGGAGCAAGGAACAAGAGACUAUAAAGUAUGGCCAUGUAAUUUGAAAGAGUUUCUCCAAAAGAAAAAAAAAAACCUUCUGAAGAUAGAAAAUAUGAUAAUUUACUAUUUUAACAUAAAACAUCCAUUGAUAGGUUAAACAGUAAACUAAACGUGACAGAAAAGAGACAUAACAACAACAUUGUGAGUUGUGGGGAAUCUGGCCUGGUUUUCAUCAUCAAUGCCCUGUGCCUGCAGGAGAUGUGGGGGGCUCCAGUGUCGCCUGGAAGUGUCAGACUUCCACGGAGUAUCUUAAAUUAAGAGUUGGCUAACUUGAGCCUAUCAUUAGUAUUUUGGGGGGCUUUCAAAGCCAUUAACAAAAGUCAGCUCUCCCACCCCUAGCACGGGAACCGAUGCUUCCACCCAGACCAGAUCCUAACUGGCCCCCUGGUGAGUCACCGUGCCACCCGCAAGGCUUGCCACCAGCUCACUCACCGCCAGCAGUAAGGUCCUUGCAAAGGGUCUGAAGGGCGUGUGAUCGAUCUUAGAAUCCUGCUCUGAAGCUCUGAAGCUCGGCUUCCUAGGGUCUCUUCUCUUAAUUCAGGUUCUCUCCAAAAGCAGGAUCUAUGACGUGGGACAUGGUCUUGUGGGCAAAUGGUUUAGUUUUGGAAGUGAUCUUGGAGAUCAGGAACAGGGACCCUGGAAGGGAGAAACGGGGAAGCGGGGAAAUCCAAGCCAGAGUGCAUCUUGGUCCUAGCACUGCUGCAGGAGGAGUACUCUAAGGAACGGUGUGCGGCUGGCCUCAGCGCCGUCCAGCGGUGCAUGGUAGUGAGGGGCGCAUGCCUGCUCCGUGCACCGGUGCACGUCAGUGGGCCUGCUGACACCCACUCCUCUGCGCUCCAGGGCUGUCUGCAAACUCUUGUCUGUCUUCCAGGAGUGUACGUGUGCCAGCUAGGUUGAACUCCAGAAGCAUCGCAAGCAGCGGCCGUGGAGAGCCUGGGAUAGAGAGCAGGGAGUGCACAGUGCAGCUGAGGCCAGGCGUGGCCAGGCUCUACCUGCGUGGCCAGCUGGCUUCCGUAGCCAUGACAGCAACCCGGUGGACCCAGAGCAUGCGAGAAGAGGGCUUAAAUGAUGGCUGACUCCACUCUAAUGCUAGACUCCAAAAACAUCGAUCUGGAACCACAGAGGUAACAGCUGGUAUCACUCUGCAUUUCUGGCGAAGAGAAAUGCCCUUACAACACACCAAUCAUAUGAUGUGUAUCCUUCACCGGGGUAAUUUGGACACAGAGAUACACAGGGAGAAUGCCACGUGAAGAUGAAGUCAGAGAUCGGGCUGGUGUUUCUACAAGCCAAAGAAUGCCAAAGAUGUUGGCAAAUCACUAAAGCUAAGGGCGAGGGGCGUAGAACAGGUUCUCUGUCACAGCCCACGGAAGGACCCACGUCUGCUGACACCUUGAUCUAGGACUUCUGGCCUCCAGAACUGUGACACAGUCGAUUCCUGGCUACACCCUCUCGUCUGUGGGACUCUGUCAAAUCAGCCCUAGGAAGCGACCCCAGUGCCAUCUACCAGAAACCCAUCCCUUACUGUCCUGCUGCCUUGCUUGGUCCACAGACUGGGGGCGCUUAAACGAACCACAUUUAUCUCUCUGUUCUGGCGGCUGGGAAGCCCAAGGUCAAGGCGCUGGCAGAUUCAGUGUUUGGUGAGGGUCCUCACAGGGCAGAAGGGGCAAGGGAGGGGCGCCUGGGUGGCUCAGUCGUUAAGCGUCUGCCUUCGGCGCAGGUCAUGAUCCCAGGGUCCUGGGAUCGAGCCUCACAUUGGACU